CGAACAGCUUCUGGAAGGGGUGAAGUGGUAAAGCUGGAAGUGUUCCAUUGUUCUUGGCAGGCUGAGGAAAUUUCUCACUGUAAGAAGAAAAAUUCUGCUAUGCAACCUGAAUGAAGAAUAUCUGCCUCUUUCACUCAAAUUGGAAAACCACCACCACCACUACCACCAAAAACAUCUACAUACGUAAUAUGUGAAACUUCAUUUGUUGCCUUUGGUUGCUGGAGUCUUUGAAGGACCAAUUAUCAGGAAAGUACAAGAUUCACCUAAAGAGACAUUUGUGACAGUCUGUAAGUACUGAGAAGCUUGAUUUCUCUCGCAAGUAAAAAGAGCUACCUGAAAGGAGUGUGCAGCAAGGAGGAGAUUGGUCUCUUUUCUCAAGUGUGAUCGAAUGUGAGGAAAUGUUCCCAGGUUCCAUCAAGAGAUGUUUAUAUUGGAAAUUAAAAAGAAAUUUUUCAUGAAGAGGAUAGUCAAGAGUUGGAAAAGCCUGCCACAGGAAAUGGUGGAGUCUUCUUCAUCGGUGGUAUUUAAGAAAUAUGGACAUGGAACUAAGUGAUGUGGCUUACUGAUGGGACUUGUUCACACAUCAUUUGCAAGGGGAAAAGCUUCUUGAUUGCUGUAUAUCAGAUAACUGCAAUUUGAGGAAAGCAGUCCAUCUGCAAAGAGCUGAGAGUCACAUCUUUUAACCCGGUUUUGUUUCAGCUAAAAUACUUCCAUUGUUACUGGGUCUGUUCUACAACAUUGCAGAGACUGAAUCCUGGUGAGUGAUGCUGCUUGGAGAAAUGCUGGAG
ensembl:lncRNA